GAAGGAAGCUUGCUUUCUUUGCUGACGAGCGGCGGACGGGUGAGUAAUGCCUGGGAAAUUGCCCUGAUGUGGGGGAUAACCAUUGGAAACGAUGGCUAAUACCGCAUGAUGCCUACGGGCCAAAGAGGGGGACCUUCGGGCCUCUCGCGUCAGGAUAUGCCCAGGUGGGAUUAGCUAGUUGGUGAGGUAAUGGCUCACCAAGGCGACGAUCCCUAGCUGGUCUGAGAGGAUGAUCAGCCACACUGGAACUGAGACACGGUCCAGACUCCUACGGGAGGCAGCAGUGGGGAAUAUUGCACAAUGGGCGCAAGCCUGAUGCAGCCAUGCCGCGUGUAUGAAGAAGGCCUUCGGGUUGUAAAGUACUUUCAGUCGUGAGGAAGGGGGUAUCGUUAAUAGCGGUAUUCUUUGACGUUAGCGACAGAAGAAGCACCGGCUAACUCCGUGCCAGCAGCCGCGGUAAUACGGAGGGUGCGAGCGUUAAUCGGAAUUACUGGGCGUAAAGCGCAUGCAGGUGGUUUGUUAAGUCAGAUGUGAAAGCCCGGGGCUCAACCUCGGAGUUGCAUUUGAAACUGGCAGGCUAGAGUACUGUAGAGGGGGGUAGAAUUUCAGGUGUAGCGGUGAAAUGCGUAGAGAUCUGAAGGAAUACCGGUGGCGAAGGCGGCCCCCUGGACAGAUACUGACACUCAGAUGCGAAAGCGUGGGGAGCAAACAGGAUUAGAUACCCUGGUAGUCCACGCUGUAAACGAUGUCUACUUGGAGGUUGUGGCCUUGAGCCGUGGCUUUCGGAGCUAACGCGUUAAGUAGACCGCCUGGGGAGUUACCGCGUCG
rnacentral:rRNA from 1 species